CGUGCAUGGAAGGACUCAUGGUAGAACUUAAAUCACAAUGACAAUGAAAAAACGAGAAACCACGCGAGAAACCACACGAAACCAGCUUUGUGACGAUGAUACCCGAUCUGGUAACUGAAAAAGUAGAAGGCAACUACACCGCAAAUUUCCCCUCCUCACAAAACUGCUCCAAUAACAUGACCAAUAACUAACAUCCCUUUUGACCAAAAUGCCAGCCACAGGUGAGAACCCCUUGUAAGCAACAAUCUCUGGCAAACAUCACAAUCUGGUACACAAAACUGCUCCAANNNNNNNNNNNNNNNNNNNNACCCGAUCUGGUAACUGAAAAAGUAGAAGGCAACUACACCGCAAAUUUCCCCUCCUCACAAAAAUAACUAACAUCCCUUUUGACCAAAAUGCCAGCCACAGGUGAGAACCCCUUGUAAGCAACAAUCUCUGGCAAACAUCACAAUCUGGUACAAAUCUGAUUGUUGGUUAGCAAGGUCACCAAACCUAGCAAGGUCACCAAACCAGCAAAUGGCAAAAUCAAUUUAAAAAUUAAACCACCAAGAAUAUUCCCACUCCGCAAAAGAUAAAUAAAUAAAUAAGCAGGAACCCCUUAUAUGCAACAAUCUCUGGCAACAUCACAAUCUGACACAAACAAAUCAAUUUAAAAAUUAAACCACAAAGAAUAUUCCAGUCCCCAAAAGAUAAAUAAAUAAAGAAGCAGGCUCUGGUUCAGACAAUCUAAAACCACUGUCAAGUGUGAGGGCAUCAACAUCAAACUAAGCCAAACAUGAUACGACAUACACCAGCAAAGUGCACAACAAUCAAUACAAUCUCAACCCAAAUUGCACAACAAUCGAUACAAUCUCAACCCAUGCAAACCCUUGGAGCACUGCAACAACAACAGAAGCGACACUUAAAAUCUAACUAUCAAGUCUCAAGGCCAAAAAAAAAAAACACAAUAGAUAAAGGGCCCAGUUUCAAAAACAAGCGGGCAAUUGAGAAGACAAAAGUCAAGCAAAAGGCGACAGGAGGACAUAAGAGAGUUAAGAAAAACCAAGUUGAAACAAUACUAUAAAAGCCAUGAACGCAGACGUCGUUUGACAUCGUUUGCCCUUCAACUCUCACCACUGUGUAACAAACAGGCAAAAAAUAAUUCAGACGUCAUCAUCUGGUGAAACAGUACUAUCAAAAAGGUCAAAACAAUGCUUCAAAUCCCUCAUGGAAAAAAAAAUAAAAAAAAAUCUCCACCAAUACGUCUUCCAAGAACAAACACUGGUCACUAGACAGAAUAUAUACAAGAAAAAAACAGUUAUAACCUAAAAUGCUACCAGGUUAGACAUGCUCCCUCGAUAGAUAUCAUAUCCACCAUAUUAACAAACCAUUCGACAUGCUCCCUCGAUAGAUAUCAUAUCCACCAAUACGUCUUCCAAGAACUAACACUGGUCACUAGACAGAAUAUAUACAAGAAAAAAACAGUUAUAACCUAAAAUGCUACCAGGUUAGACAUGCACCCUCGAUAGAUAUCAUAUCCGCCAUAUUAACAAACCAUUCGACAUGCUCCCUCGAUAGAUAUCAUAUCCGCCAUACUCCGAACAUCAUCAACCUACGUGCCAGGACAGAUCAGAUAUUAACAAUCUUAACAAUCUUACACCUUAAUUCCAAGAUUUAUAAAACGAGCAAAUUGGUAAUCGAAAAUGAUUUUUGGGGAAGGGGUGGGGGGUGGGAAUUAACAAUCUUAACAAUCUUACACCUUAAUUCCAAUGACACUUUAGUUUUAAAUCUCGUCACAAAAAGCCGGACAACUAAGAAGACAAAACUCAGCAAAUGGUGAUAACCAUAUAUAUAAAAAUAUUAACAGCAUUUCUCCACAACUAAAGCACCCUCGUUUAUCAACAGUCUCGAAGAACAUUAAAUAACACAGUAUAUAUCCUACACAAAAUGUUCCUUUAAAAAAUAUAGAAAAAUAUUAACAGCAUUUCUCCACAACUAAAGCACCCUCGUUUAUCAACAGUCUCGAAGAACAUUAAAUAACACAGUAUAUAUCCUACACAAAAUGUUCCUUUAAAAAAAAAAAAGCUAAUUUACACAAUUCCACUACAGUAUAUAUCCUCCACAAAAUGUUCCUUUAAAAAAAAAAAAAGCUAAUUUACACAAUUCCACUACAGUAUAUAUCCUCCACAAAAUGUUCCUUUAAAAAAAAAAAAAGCAAAUUUACACAAUUGCACUCCCUAUUGGAAAACAUUAAAGGGAAAAACAACAGCAUGUCUUCUCCACAACUAAAGCACCCUCGUUUAUACAUAUAACAAUUCACCAUCAGAAUCACCAUCAGACGCCCGCAAAAAGUCAUCUCUUUCAAAUAUCGACAAGACCCCCUCUACAAAUCAUCUCUUUCAAAUAUCGAUAAUCCAAUUAAAAUAUAUGGAGACAACACAUUAUUUACAAGUGUCAAAAGAUAACUUAGAACAGGAAAAAAAAAAGGAAAAACAAUGCUAACUGACCUAAAAAACAAAAUCAUUCGGUGCGGAAGAACUCUCACCCUCAACCCAUAAAAGAUCAUAUCCUCCAAAAAGAAGUCCACCAAGAUGAUGAUAGCAUUCAUUCUAAGUUUUCUUUUUCUAGAAGGGAAAAAAAAGGAUGACUAGUGAAAAACUAGGGGGAAAAAAGAAAUUGAGAAAAUCCNNN
rnacentral:lncRNA from 1 species